CGAGCCGGCCGGGCGGCCGCGGCAGGGCCGGAACCCGGCCCCGCCGAGGAAGGUCCGGACUCCACAGGGCAGGGUGGUGGGUAACGCCCACCCGGGGUGACCCGCGGGAAAGUGCCACAGAAAACAGACCGCCUCGGCCCCGUGCCGGGGUAAGGGUGAAACGGUGGUGUAAGAGACCACCAGCGCCCGAGGUGACUCGGGCGGCUCGGUAAACCCCACCCGGAGCAAGGUCAAGAGGGGGCGCCGCACAGGUGCCCCUGCGCGAGCGCUUGAGGGUGGCCCGCCCGAUGCUCGCGGGUAGACCGCUAGAGGCUGCCGGUAACGGCAGUCCCAGAGGGAUGGCCGCCGCCCGGCAGGGGGCAACCCCGCCGGGGCACAGAAUCCGGCCUACAGGCCGACUCGUCCG
rfam:Streptomyces thermoautotrophicus strain H1 H1_chromosome, whole genome shotgun sequence.